rnacentral:lncRNA from 1 species
AUGGGGAGAACAGACUCCCCCCUGGCUGGGCUGGGUAAGUGCCAGCACUGUCUCCAACACACUGUGCAAGCUCUACAUGUGACCGGCUGCCCCUCUGGGUCUGUUUGCUCACCUAGGACAUGGGGAGAACAACGCCCCCCUGGCUGGGGCAUGGAGACCCAAAGGAGACGGUGUGUCAAUGCCGAGCGCGGGCGAGGGGCCCCAAGGGGCUCGAGACAGAGGCUGCAUCUUCACUGCUUCUCUGCCGCGUCCAGGCCAGGCCCCCAGCAUCGCUCACUGGCUCUCCUGCAGCCGCGUCCAUCCUUGACAUGCGGCUUCCACCGUCUCCCCUUCAACCGCCCAUUCUCCGCACGGCCGCUAGAGGGAGCUUCAAAAGCAUGCUCCAGUACUCUGCGUGGGUUUCCAGUGUACUUGUCCCAAGCCCUUACCUGACUUUGAAGCCUAGGGCAGUUGACUCAGCCGACUGCUACACCUGCCCCGUUCCUUCCAUUCCUUGAGGGAUGGUGCAGUCACACAAGCCUUUUUUCUGCCGCUUGAACCUCCCAGCCUUUGCAGGUGCUGUUCCUCUGGAGCAUCCUCCAGACAUCUCACCUGGUUGACUUCUAAGCAUCCAUUAGGUCUCAGCAUAGAAAAGCCACUCUCUCCAGGAAAUCAAGUCAUGUAUCUUCCCAACCCAGAAGGACCACUGGAACCACCAAGGACAUCCCUCUCCCUCUGCAAAGGCUCUCCUGGCUAAGAAAGUCACUCUGACCUGUUUCCUCCCUCCUUCCAGUGCCUUUGGAGCAAAUUUGGCCCUGCCCCCUGUGUGGCCGAGAUGCAUCUCUGCUCACAAUCUGGCUGUAAAGUUCCUUUGGGCACCUCUACUUUUACACUGAAUGGUCUUAGUUUUUGCUGGCAUUGCCCCAUUUUCCUGGGCAGAAAUCUUGGGGACCCAGAGCCCAGGGCUGGAUGGAAAAAGAAUAAGAAAAAAAAACCCUUUCAUAUCAGAGAGACAUUGAAGAUGGUCCGUUGUGAAGUGAAGGGAACUAACUGUCAGCUAAAAAAUAAUUUGGCUAAAUGACAGGCUCGCAUCACCUCCCUGUAGUCACCCCCAGGCACUUUCUCCUCCUUCUUCUUCCUGUUUUCCCCUCCUCUUCAUGAUACUUUCUUUUUCCUUCAUGUGGCUUGACUAGGAGACAUCAGUUUUUGCAACAUCAUUUUCAUGAAGAUCUACCUGGGAAAGAUUGGAGAUAAACUCAGCAGAGCUGACAGCAUAGCUCUGUUCACAGGAACCAAAGAAACCACUUUUCAAGUUGCAAAAAAAUGAUUAGAAAUUAGAACUCUAGUUACAGCUGGAGAUGGAAGGAGAGGUGACCUGGGGGGGUCGGGCUUCUCUCCAGCCUCAUCUCUCCAGUCUCCCCUCCCUUCCCUUCCCUAACCCAGUGCUUCACAUGGAACCUUGAAAGGUUAAUAAUCAUAACACAUAAUGUUUAUUGAGAGCAUAGUAUGUUCCAGAUGCUGAGCAGAGUACUAUAAACUAGACACCUUAUUCAGUCACUGCAUAUACCAAGUAUGUCUUCUCCUUCUUUGCUCCAUUCAUUGGGCAUUUACCGGUUGUUGGGCUGGAAAGCAGGCCAGCAUUUAUUGAGCAACUAUUGUGUGCUGAUGACCUCAGUUUAUUCCUUCAAGGAUCCGUUCUUACAGUCAAGGAAGUCAGGGCUCGUGGCUCAGGGCUGAGGUCCCACAGUACCUGCUCUGGGUCUCUUGGCCACCCAAGAGACCAACACAGCUGUCAUCCAUACCUCUUUCUCCAGUACAGAGGCUCCUAGUCUGCUCAGGGAACAGUAUUAUUGUAAUUGCUGCUACCGUUGUGAUUGUCAUAAAAUCCACACCCUAGCAAGACCAAUAGCAGCUACACAUCUUCUUAUAGCAGGCACAGUUACCGUCUGCUCCUAUGAUGACCUUUGACACAUACUAACUGUGUAAGGCAAGACUUGGCCCUUGCAUCAGCAAGGCUAAGGAUUUGUUCAGGGUACCAGUGAGCUGGGUCUGGCCCAUUGCCUUCACUGGGCUUGGACGCCAGGGUGUGUGGUGUCUAUGAGAGCCAGGAGGGCCAUGUCUGCAGGCGAGUAAGAAGCUGAGAAAACCUGACUGCAGAAGCAAGAAUGAGGCAGAAGAGCAGACGAGCCAAGAUGAGACCCACAAGAGGACAGGACGGACAGGGCUGCUGGGCUCCUUGUUUCAGACCUGAGUCAGAUCCAAGUCCAGUAAGUCCUGCAGGACCCCCAGGAACCAGUGCCCGCCCCACCCCC